UGUUCUUCUUUCUGCACUCCCUCCUCUUGUUGCCCUUUGACCCGCCAGUCGGUCAGUAAGAGGAGACGAGUGAACUUUCAGAAGUCAACCCUGUGAAUUCAUCGCAGAAAUAUAUAAACUGUGUAUGUUUAUUUUUGUUUGGGGGGGGGGGGGGCGAGGACAAAGCCCCCACCCCCAGUACGUGACCUUUGACCCCUCUUAAAGAACAGCACAUGCACGCUUCGGGUCAAAGAUCGACUUCCUGUCUGUGUGCGCCGUACAUUUUUUUUUUUUUUGUAAUGUCUGAUUUCUACUCGUGUGUGUGUGUGUGUGUGUGUGUGUGUGUGUGUGUGUGAGAGCUGACCUGAGGUCUGUUUUUCAGCCGUUUUGUACCUUCCCUUCAGGGGGGGAAUGACUCGGGGGGGGGGGUCACAAUGAGUCUGUUGGGUUCCUUUAGGGGGCGUCGCCGUGCUCCUCACGGCGCCAUGAAGCCGCCUCCCACUUCUUCGGUUCCGCUCUCGUUUUGUUGGUUUGUUGGAAACUUAAAAAAAAAAAUGCAUGUCUGUUUUUUUGCCACUUAGUGAGAAAAGAAAAAAGUUUAAAGAAGAAGAAAUGAAACGCUUUGUUGCUCCACAGCAGCUCGCUUUCAGAUUUGCAUCAUUUUAUCUGAAUUUUCAUUUUCGGGGCUUUAACAGGAACAUUUUCACUGAAAAAACGUAUUUUCAGUCAUGCAAGAGAUGAACUUUCUCACCAUGGGUUAUAUGGCGAAUAGUUUUCCCUAAAUAGAGGACAGAAAUAUAUAAGUACACAUUUACAUAUAAAUAUAUAUGUAAACGUGUCGGCUGCAGAAGCUGCUCAUGUAGUGAAACACGACCGGACCGAAUCCGUCAGAAACUACCAUCAUGUUCCUCUGUGGUUCUGAUGUGAUGAACCCAUCGUUUUAUUCGCUGUGCGUGUGUGUGCGUGUGUGUGCGUGUGUGUGUGUGUGUGUCCCCUCGAGGAGCUGAUGAGCUGAUCUGAGGUCAGCCGAGCGCCGCGUUUGCUCAUCACGUCUUAGAAGUAUUCUCGCUACGUUAAAGGUGUAUUUGUACUUUGCUCUAAAAAACAUUGUUAAACAAGUUUUAUUUCAGCGAUGCAACAGAUAAAUAAAGGAAAUAACUUUAUUUAGUCUGAACUUUAAGACUCUCGCUUUUAUCGCGGCUCAUAAACAUAAACGUAGUACCCAGAAUGCAUCGCUCAGCUCGCCGACCUCGGCAGGUAAAAGUUGGAUCAGCGUGUUUGGAUGAAGCCCCGAGGGGACCCAACUCCACGAGAGCAUCGAGCGGGGUGCGUUCCAUUUCAGACACGUGUCACCUUGUGCUCACACCAGUCAGCUGCUUCCUGUUCAGCUGAUAUUUGUGAUUUUUAAUUAACUGUCGAGACUAGUUUCAUUUCAAAAGAGCUUAUUUCUGAAUUUGUCAGAAGAACAUUUACAUAUUUUUUAUUUGUUUGUCAUUUUAUUAAGCAGCAAUUCCAGAAGUUGAAUCAUUAAUCAUAAUUUCAAUUUGCUACAUUUUAAUCAACAGAUGAAACGAUGAUUAAAAUAACUAAUUAUAACAACGUGAGAGGACAACAGAAGAAAAGGAAUCGAGCUGAUAUAGAUUACCAUUUAAAAUUGUGUUCAAUUCUAAGAAAAAGGUUGAAGAACCUGUGAAGGGCACUUUGAAAGAGACACAUGUCCGGAAUGGGACGCGGCCGAAGGAGACUCCACCUCUGGAGGCGUGAAGGAGACGAGUGUUCGAGGGGACGAAUGUUCAGAAUGGAACGCAGCCAAACGAAAGCAUUUUAAGGUUUUAUGAUGUUGGACUGAAGGGGGGGGGGGGUCAGGGGGGAUUCAGCAGCUGCUAGAUAAUUAAAGAUUAAGCUGUUCGUCUGUAGUGUUUCUCAUCAAUCAAUCAACUUUUUAUCUUUUAUCAUGUUGAUACGAUCUGCUCUCAUCCAGUCGCUCCGGUGUACAAACCCACUGACUUCUAACUCAUCCGCUGUGUAUUAUAGUAAAUAAAAAGCAUUUUCACUAAUGAAAAACUCUAAAACUCUCUCCAUAUGUUUCCAAAUAAAGUUUCUUUUUUUCCAACAUCUGGUGUGAAUACGGUUAUUUUUCUGCAGAGAAGCUGAUUGGCUGCAAUCUGCCGUCUCUCCAGGACUUGUUCGCUUCCAGGUCUCUGAAGCGAGUUAAAAAGAUGGUGGCCGACCCCUCUCACCCCGGACAAAAACUGUUUGUGCCCCUUCCAUCUGGCAGGAGGCUGAGGUCCAUCACUCCCCUUCACACUGCACAUGUCACUUUCACUUGUCACUUUCUGUUUGCUGGUGCACUUUCUUUUUAAUUUUGAAAUAGCUUUAACGAACUGUUAUUCCUUUAUUUUUAAACUAACCCAUAGCCUUAUAUUUUAUUUUAUUCCUCCUGCACUGUUGUCUUGUCAUCCAUUGUCGUACUGUCUGCUGUUACGCACCAACCGCCAAGUCACAUUCCUUGUGUAUCUCACAGAUUAUGGUGAUUAAUGUUUCCUGAUUCCUGAGAAACACCUCAUCAUCAGCCUGAGAUCAUCAUCUCGCAUCUACAGAGGGACGAACAUCUUUGAAGUUUUAAGGAGUCUCCAUAAACCGGUUACUCUUCAUGGACACACAGCUGGGUUCAGGAUCAGGUCCAGGUCUCUGAUGGGUCCUGGUCACACAUGUAGAACCAGAGUCAGAGAGACAUGGAGACGUUGGGACAUGGAGAAGAGUGGAGGACAGUUGGAGAUGGUCCUCUCACCUCUGAGCUGUGGUCUGGCUGUCAUGUUCCCCACACAGAGGAGCUUCAGAGGGACGGACUCCGUCCUCUGGGUCCUCAGCCUGAUUCAUAGCAGAGUCCACAGCUUCACACCUUCACACCAACCUGCUGGGAGAACUCACAUGUUCUUUAUCUUCAUCAGGACAAACACACAGAGCUCAUCCACCUCAACACUAAAACUCUCAUGGGACACUUUGUGUUGUCGUCUUGUCUGAUGAAGGACUGAAGACGCUAAAGCGACUUACGUUGUCUUUUUUAACUCUUGGUUUUAACAUUUUACAUUUUCCUCAGGGACACUUUGACAUGAGACACGGAGCAGCUGGGGUUCGAACCGCCGACCCCGCGGUGCGUUUGCUGCCGGUUUAGAGUCUCGCUGACGGUCCUCGUGUCCCUUGAUUAAAAGGACAUCAUAGUUUUAAUGCACAAGCUGCGCUCUGUGGACACGGACACGACGUUACGGCUACAUUUAAUCAUGACGUUCUGAAUGUAAAGUCCGUCCUCAAACAGACGGAACGUCUCCGGUGGACAACAUCGGUCUUCCCGGUGCUGGAGGAGUCAGCCGGUCCCGGUAAGCAGACCGUAAACCUCCCACAUCCACGGAGAAAAUCACAUUCCGUGACGUAAAUCCGGAAUUUAUAA
ensembl:lncRNA